UGGAAUUCGACUCCACUUUCGUGCUAAAUCUCCUGGAUGGGCAUUAGAAGCCCAGCUCUGUUCCAGGAGAGCCAAAGGCUGCACCCACCUCUUAGAGCUGGAAUGAACUCUGGAAUCAACCAUUGGGAAAUCCCACUGGGAGAGAAGAGCAGAGACCCCCAGCAGGGGCACUGCCUCUGUUCAGGGCAGAGCAGCCAGAAGUGCCUAUGCCUCAGCAACCUGGAGUCCAGGUGCUCCUCCAUGCCCUCACCUUGGCACAGGAAAGGCAACGUGGGGCCCAAGGAACAGAUCAUUCCCGACAUUUCACAGUGGUUGGAAUUAACAGAUGUAGGAUAAUAGCAUCAAAUUUUAAGCUUAUAACAAAUGUUACUUUCAAAUCAGCUAUGCAAAUACAGCUUUAAAUAUAUGCAGAUUUAUGACUAGUUCCUUAAAGGUAAUGAUUUUUUUAAAAAAACACUGAAUUCUAAGAGGAAUUCUUAAU
rnacentral:lncRNA from 1 species